rnacentral:rRNA from 1 species
UACGUAGGGUGCAAGCGUUGUCCGGAAUUAUUGGGCGUAAAGAGCUCGUAGGCGGUUCGUCGCGUCGGCUGUGAAAACCCGGAGCUCAACUCCGGGCCUGCAGUCGAUACGGGCGGACUUGAGUGUUGCAGGGGAGACUGGAAUUCCUGGUGUAGCGGUGAAAUGCGCAGAUAUCUGGAGGAACACCGGUGGCGAAGGCGGCAUCCUGGACCGACACUGACGCUGAGGAGCGAAAGCCAGGGGAGCGAACCGG